rnacentral:rRNA from 1 species
AUGGCCGACACCAACGCCCCCGGCUCGCCGGCUUCUUCGCUCCAGAACCACCGCUACGCCAUCAAAUCCUCAGUGCACAAUACGGCAGCUAGCCGGAGGCGUGAACAGGCUAUAGCAAUAGGAAAGGAAAGAAGGGAAGCCUUAAUGCGUGCAAAGCGUGUGUGCCGUGCCCCACUUUCUGGCAGCGAUGAGGCUACAGUUGAAGAUGGUGAUAUGGUUAUUGAUGAGAAAGCAGAUCUUGAAACAAGAACUGCUCAAGCUGUUGAGGAAUUGAAAUCAGCCUUGUCAAGCCAGGGAAAGGGGGCCCAGAAGAAGAAGAUAGAGGCACUUCGUGCAGUGAGACGCGUGUUGUCACAGUCUGAAGUACCUCCCAUUCAAGUAGCAAUUAAAGCUGGGGCAGUUCCUCUUUUAGUGCAAUAUAUGUCCUUUGGAUCUUCAGAUGAACAGUUGCUAGAGGCUGCUUGGUGCCUUACGAACAUAGCAGCUGGGGAGCCAGAAGAAACAAAAUCCGUGCUGCCCGCAUUACCAUUGCUUGUUGCUCACCUUGGUGAGAAGAGCUCCACACUUGUUGCUGAGCAAUGUGCAUGGGCCAUCGGUAAUGUUGCUGGUGAAGGAGCAGACCUGAGAAGCACAUUAAUUGCACAGGGUGCUUUGUGGCCUCUUGCCCGCCUAAUGCUAUCAAGCAAGGGUUCUACAGCAAGAACUGCUGCUUGGGCAUUGUCAAAUCUCAUCAAGGGGCCUGAUCCCAAGGCUGCGUAUGAGCUUAUUAACAUCGAUGGUGUGCUAAACGCGAUCAUAAGGAACUUGGAGAAGGCGGACGAAGAGUUAGCAACUGAGGUGGCAUGGGUAGUGGUAUAUCUUUCAGCACUUUCAGAAAAAGCUAUCAGCUUAAUAGUACGAAGUCAUGUGCCUCAGUUGCUGAUUGGACGCCUGCUGGCAUCUGAGAACUUGCAGUUGCUCAUUCCGGUGCUUCGUGGUUUAGGGAAUCUUGUAGCCGGGGAUGAAUACAUGGUUGAUUCAAUCCUAAUUGUUGGAAACAGCAUCACAGAUCAAGCUUUAUCAAGUCUCAUAAAAUGUUUGAAGAGUGACAAUAGGGUUCUCAGAAAGGAGGCUUCAUGGGCAUUGUCAAAUAUAGCAGCAGGCAGCUUUGAGCACAAGAAAUUGAUUUUUACCAGUGAGGCGACGCCUUCACUAAUACACCUCCUGACGAGUGCACAGUUUGACAUUCGUAAGGAAGCAGCUUACACCCUGGGCAAUCUGUGUGUUGUCCCAGCAGGGAGUACUGAGCCCCCGAACAUAAUCACUGAACAUCUAGUCUCGAUCAUAAAUGGUGGAGCCCUUCCAGGAUUUAUAAAUUUGGUCAGGUCUGCUGAUAUAGAGAGCGCAAGACUUGGACUUCAGUUCCUGGAACUGGUGAUGAGGGGGUAUCCCAAUGGACAGGGUCCACAGCUUGUGGAGAGGGGGGAUGGCAUCGAGGCCAUGGAGAGGUUCCAGUUCCAUGAGAACGAGGCGAUGAGGAACAUGGCCAAUGGGCUGGUCGACAAAUACUUUGGCGAGGAUUACGGUCUCGAGUGA